AUGAAGAACGCAGCGAAAUGCGAUAAGUAAUGUGAAUUGCAGAAUUCAGUGAAUCAUCGAAUCUUUGAACGCACAUUGCGCCCGCCAGUAUUCUGGCGGGCAUGCCUGUUCGAGCGUCAUUACAACCCUCAGGCCCCCGGGCCUGGCGUUGGGGAUCGGCGGAAGCCCCCUGCGGGCACAACGCCGUCCCCCAAAUACAGUGGCGGUCCCGCCGCAGCUUCCAUUGCGUAGUAGCUAACACCUCGCAACUGGAGAGCGGCGCGGCCACGCCGUAAAACACCCAACUUCUGAAUGUUGACCUCGAAUCAGGUAGGAAUACCCGCUGAACUUAAGCAUAUCAAUAAGCGGAGGA
rnacentral:misc_RNA from 1 species